GCCCAGACUCCUACGGGAGGCAGCAGUGGGGGAUAUUGCACAAUGGGGGGAACCCUGAUGCAGCGACGCCGCGUGGGUGAAGAAGCGCCUCGGCGCGUAAAGCCCUGUCAGCAGGGAAGAAAAUGACGGUACCUGAAGAAGAAGCCCCGGCUAACUACGUGCCAGCAGCCGCGGUAAUACGUAGGGGGCAAGCGUUAUCCGGAUUUACUGGGUGUAAAGGGGGCGCAGACGGCGAUGCAAGCCAGGAGUGAAAGCCCGGGGCCCAACCCCGGGACUGCUUUGGAAACUGUUAAGCUGGAGUACUGGAGAGGCAAGCGGAAUUCCUAGUGUAGCGGUGAAAUGCGUAGAUAUUAGGAGGAACACCAGUGGCGAAGGCGGCUUGCUGGACAGAGACUGACGUUGAGGCCCGAAAGCGUGGGGAGCAAACAGGAUUAGAUACCCCCGUA
rnacentral:rRNA from 1 species